CAGUUUGAUCCUGGCUCAGAUUGACCGCUGGCGGCAGUCCUAACACAUGCAAGUCGAGCGGAAACGAGAAGUAGCUUGCUACUUCGGUGUCGAGCGGCGGACGGGUGAGUAAUGCCUAGGAAAUUGCCCUGAUGUGGGGGAUAACCAUUGGAAACGAUGGCUAAUACCGCAUACUGCCAUCGGGCCAAAGCGGGGGACCUUCGGGCCUCUCGCGUCAGGAUGAGCCUAGGUGGGAUUAGCUAGUUGGUGAGGUAAUGGCUCACCAAGGCGACGAUCCGUAGCUGGUCUGAGAGGAUGAUCAGCCACACUGGAAGC
rnacentral:rRNA from 1 species